GUCGGGCGCGGUGGCGCGUGCCUGUAAUCCCAGCUACUUGGGAAGCUGAGGCAGGAGAAUUGCUGGAACCCGGGAGGCGGAGGUCGCAGUGAGCCAAGAUGGCGCCACUGCACUCCAGCCUGGGUGACAGAGCAAGACUCUGUCUCAA
rfam:Homo sapiens chromosome 2, GRCh38 reference primary assembly.